UACAUGGGGUGCAAACGUUGCUCGGAAUUAUUGGGCGUAAAGCGCGCGUAGGCGGUUACUUAAGUCGGAUGUGAAAGCCCUCGGCUUAACUGAGGAAGUGCACCCGAAACUGAGUAGCUAGAGUACGAAAGAGGGUCGCGGAAUUCCCGGUGUAGAGGUGAAAUUCGUAGAUAUCGGGAGGAACACCGGUGGCGAAGGCGGCGACCUGGGUCGAGACUGACGCUGAGGCGCGAAAGCGUGGGGAGCGAACGGG
rnacentral:rRNA from 1 species